rnacentral:ncRNA from 1 species
GCCCCGCUCUUCCCGCACAGAAGAGCGGACCGAGGAGCCGGCGCUCUCUGCCCUGACCGCGUCGGACCUUCCCGGAAUCGGCCGCCGGUACCGCACAUUCCGGCUGCCGAUGCACCUGAAGGGCUGCGGUGUUGGGGCCGGGUUGAGGGUCCCGCCCCGGCGC